AUAGGGAGGAGGGGUUCGAACCGACAUCAAAAAAUUCAAAAUCUUUCGCAUUUCCAAUUAUACUACCCCCUA
rnacentral:tRNA from 1 species